CCCAGAGAAUCGGGGAAUUAGGGUAGAAGGUUCUUCCAAGGAAUAUAUUAGAGUGCAGGGAGAAACUGGGAAGUGGGGAACAGGGAAGUUGCAAAACAGUGUGUGGGUGAAAUAAUGAACCCUAAAAAUGGAUAAUUAGGGUAGCAGAGGGAGAAUAACAAGAAAAAUCAAAGAAAAUUGAAUUGAAAAUUUCAGUUUUUCUCUUCUCAGGAGAAAUUUUAAUAAGACGUAAAGACGAUACAUGUUUAUACGCAUGUAAGACGGCGACGUGAGACCUGCAGCUAAACUAGCUUGCCUUCUAUUUACAUUCGUUUCAAUUUAAUACAGUGUUGAAAAAUUAAAACAGACUUUACAAAUUCACCCUUGCUAAUCUGUGCUAGAAAAACUACCUAUCACGGCUCGAUAUGCUAGCGUACUACACGAGACGUGAAAAUACGUAUUUUGCCGUUGUCAACAGAGCUUGGACAACAGUGCAUUUUUUAAGGAUUCUUCAGUGGUGGAGCAUAACUGCCUAAGGGCCUUUUUUUCUUGCCAUCCCCCCCUGGAUAGUAUGCGAUCGCCGAAGGUGUAAGCCAAGUACAGUACCACCGGCGCGAGUUAGCUGGGGGGGGGGCAUUUUUAAAACAUGGGUUUCUGAAAUAGCAUUUCCUGUAUUCUGAGAACACAUUUUAAAAAAAUUUCAGCUUCUCAAAACAAAG